rnacentral:lncRNA from 1 species
GGAGGUGUGGGUGAGCAAGGCCUCCUGGGACUCUUAUUUGCUAGCAGAUGGCCCUACUGCCUGCUAACUCUGGAGAUCACAUCAGGCCCUAAGCUUCCUGAAGUGCAAAUUGGAGUGGGAACUGGGGAGUCCAGGACCCCUCUGUCCCUGUCCAUAGCACUGCCAUUGAAGGUUGAGUCAAGGAUAGAGCUUCUAAUACUUCUCUACUUCCCUGUGCUGGGACACUGGGGGAAAAUAAGGGGUGUGCCCUCCAAGACUGCUUUGCCUGCAGUCUUAUUCCUUGGCUUAAGGCAUGGGCAUACAUAUGUUACCCAGGACAAAGCAUUGGAAGCUCCUUUCUUGGAAGUCACUCAUAUUGGGAUGAGAUGAUCAAAGUCUUUCCAGGUGGAGCAUCUUGGAGGAGACUAGGGUCUGAUAUGAAGAGAAGUUUUUGGCACAGGAUCUUGCAUGUCGUAUUCUAUAUAAUGGGAG